GAUGAACGCUGGCGGCGUGCCUAAUACAUGCAAGUCGAGCGAAUGGAUUAAGAGCUUGCUCUUAUGAAGUUAGCGGCGGACGGGUGAGUAACACGUGGGUAACCUGCCCAUAAGACUGGGAUAACUCCGGGAAACCGGGGCUAAUACCGGAUAACAUUUUGAACCGCAUGGUUCGAAAUUGAAAGGCGGCUUAGGCUGUCACUAAUGGAUGGACCGGCGUCGCAUUAGCAAGUUGGUGAGGUAACGGCUCACCAAGGCAACGAUGCGUAGCCGACCUGAGAGGGUGAUCGGCCACACUGGGACUGAGACACGGCCCAGACUCCUACGGGGGGCAGCAGUAGGGAAUCUUCCGCAAUGGACGAAAGUCUGACGGAGCAACGCCGCGUGAGUGAUGAAGGCUUUCGGGUCGUAAAACUCUGUUGUUAGGGAAGAACAAGUGCUAGUUGAAUAAGCUGGCACCUUGACGGUACCUAACCAGAAAGCCACGGCUAACUACGUGCCAGCCGCCGCAGUAA
rnacentral:rRNA from 1 species